GGCCAGUUUUUGUUGACCACUACAGUACAAACCGAGGCCAACGAAUGAACCUAGCAAUUCAGAUCUUAGCCUCUUACCCGCCAUCCGGCAAGGAGAAAGGCUAUGAAG
rnacentral:antisense_RNA from 1 species